UGCUCUCCUCAUCAAUCCCAUGCC
rnacentral:siRNA from 1 species